rnacentral:tRNA from 1 species
GCCCGUGUGGCUCAGUGGGCAGAGCGCCGGCCCUCAGACCUGAAGGGUCGCAGGUUCGGUUCCGGUCAAGGGCA